AUUGAACGCUGGCGGCAUGCCUUACACAUGCAAGUCGAACGGUAACGGGCCUUCGGGUGCCGACGAGUGGCGAACGGGUGAGUAAUGCAUCGGAACGUGCCAUUGAGUGGGGGAUAACGUAGCGAAAGUUGCGCUAAUACCGCAUAUUCUGUGAGCAGGAAAGCAGGGGACCGCAAGGCCUUGCGCUCUUUGAGCGGCCGAUGUCAGAUUAGCUAGUUGGUGAGGUAAAGGCUUACCAAGGCGACGAUCUGUAGCGGGUCUGAGAGGAUGAUCCGCCACACUGGAACUGAGACACGGUCCAGACUCCUACGGGAGGCAGCAGUGGGGAAUUUUGGACAAUGGGGGCAACCCUGAUCCAGCCAUGCCGCGUGAGUGAAGAAGGCCUUCGGGUUG
rnacentral:rRNA from 1 species